AGCUCCAAUAGCGUAUAUUAAAGUUGUUGCGGUUAAAAGCUCGUAGUUGGGUUUCUGCUGAGGGUGGCUGGUCCGCCCUCUGGGUGAGUAUCUGGCACAGCCUGAGCAUUGUUUUUAAGAGUACAACUGCACUUGACUGUGUGGUGUGGUCUUGAAAAUUUUUACUUUGAAGAAAUCAAUGUGUUUCAAGCAGGUUCUUGCCCUGAAUACAUUAGCAUGGAAUAAUAUAACCAAGCUGUGGUUCUAUUUUGUUGGUUUCUAGAACUGAAGCAAUGAUUAAUAGGGAUGGUUGGGGGCAUUUGUAUUUAAUUGUCAGAGGUGAAAUUCUUGGAUUUGUUAAAGACAGACUACUGCGAAAGCAUUUGCCAAGGAUGUUUUCA
rnacentral:rRNA from 1 species